rnacentral:rRNA from 1 species
GGCUCAGAACGAACGCUGGCGGCAAGCUUAACACAUGCAAGUCGAACGGACCGUACGCGCAGCUUGCUGCGUGAAUGGAUAGUGGCAAACGGGUGAGUAAUGCAUAGCAAUCCGCCUAGUACUACACGAUAGCCACUAAAAAUGGUGGGUAAUACUGUAUAACCCCUGCGGGGGAAAGAUUUAUCGCUACUAGAUGAGCCUAUGUCAAAUUAGCUAGUUGGUGGGGUAAUGGCCCACCAAGGCUGUGAUCUGUAGCUGGUCUGAGAGGAUGAUCAGCCACACUGGAACUGAGACACGGUCCAGACUCCUACGGGAGGCAGCAGUGGGGAAUAUUGGACAAUGGGCGCAAGCCUGAUCCACCUAUGCCGCGUGAGUGAGGAAGGCCUUAGGGUUGUAAAACUCUUUCAGUAGGGAAGAUAAUGACGGUACCUACAGAAGAAGUCCCGGCAAACUCCGUGCCAGCAGCCGCGGUAAUACGGAGGGGGCAAGCGUUGUUCGGAAUUAUUGGGCGUAAAGGGCAUGUAGGCGGUUUGGUAAGUUAAAGGUGAAAUACCAGGGCUUAACCCUGGGGCUGCUUUUAAUACUGCAGGACUAGAGUCCGGAAGAGGAUAGCGGAAUUCCUA